rnacentral:rRNA from 1 species
GGCCGGGGAUUAGUGGCGAACGGGUGAGUAACACGUGGGCAAUCUGCCCUGCACUCUGGGACAAGCCCUGGAAACGGGGUCUAAUACCGGAUAUGACCACCGGCCGCAUGGUCUGGUGGUGGAAAGCUCCGGCGGUGCAGGAUGAGCCCGCGGCCUAUCAGCUUGUUGGUGGGGUGAUGGCCUACCAAGGCGACGACGGGUAGCCGGCCUGAGAGGGCGACCGGCCACACUGGGACUGAGACACGGCCCAGACUCCUACGGGAGGCAGCAGUGGGGAAUAUUGCACAAUGGGCGCAAGCCUGAUGCAGCGACGCCGCGUGAGGGAUGACGGCCUUCGGGUUGUAAACCUCUUUCAGCAGGGAAGAAGCGCGAGUGACGGUACCUGCAGAAGAAGCACCGGCUAACUACGUGCCAGCAGCCGCGGUAAUACGUAGGGUGCGAGCGUUGUCCGGAAUUAUUGGGCGUAAAGAGCUCGUAGGCGGCCUGUCGCGUCGGAUGUGAAAGCCCGGGGCUUAACCCCGGGUCUGCAUUCGAUACGGGCAGGCUAGAGUUCGGCAGGGGAGAUUGGAAUUCCUGGUGUAGCGGUGAAAUGCGCAGAUAUCAGGAGGAACACCGGUGGCGAAGGCGGAUCUCUGGGCCGAUACUGACGCUGAGGAGCGAAAGCGUGGGGAGCGAACAGGAUUAGAUACCCUGGUAGUCCACGCCGUAAACGUUGGGCACUAGGUGUGGG